UGCGGACCUCUGAGAAUGUAGUUCCAGUCCAUUUCUGUUCCGUUAUUAAGGACUCUAAACUCAAGCUAUACAGCAGCUGCCGGUGGGGGAUGAGAGGGGAGAAGAGAAAAAUAUCAGAAAAAUGCUUCACUCAUGCUCGCCCACUCAGGAGAUGGAAGUGCCAUUCAGGAGGGCUGGAAGCUAAGGUCUCCCUCUUCAGAGCUCAGGGCUUUAGCACAUGGAGGGACAGCAGCCACUGCUGCUUCUUAAACAGAGGCCUUGUUGCACCCAGUGUCAAAGAGCCCACAAGUAACCGAGCUGUACUUUGGAAGUGGGUCUGAUGAGCCUUUUAAUAGGAGAAAAUCAUCAUUAUUUCCCAAGAGUUCACAUUCCCAUAACAUUUUUAUUAGCAGCCUCUCUUCUAAAUAAAGUUCAGUGGAUUGACUUCGGCGGCGCCUUCUCAUUUUGAACAUUCCCUUAAGUUAUGGCCGUGGAUGUCGUCCCCAUCAUCACCGCUGAUAACAUCAGCAUCAGCAGCUCCAUUGUGAUGCUGUUUAUGCUGCACUUAAGGAAGCUCUCAAAACUCUUCAGGUAUAUUACCUCAUUCAUCCUCAUCUCUUCCUACGCAGGGGACCAGCAUAACGAGAGCACACGCGGGACAGAUCUCUCUGUUCUCUGCCUCUGCGAGCUACCUUUCUGUGUAGAUAAUAUCGAUUGUUAGUUAGACAGGACUUAGAAUCACUAUGGCAACAUGACUCUGGUAUUCGUGCGGGUGUUCCCGGAAAGGUAUGAUGUGGCACUUUUGGAUGUGGGUGGCACCAUCCCCUGGUCCUAGUCCGAAUAAUAACACAGAGGGUUUUCAUUUCUCUCUGUUUCCUAAGUGUGGAUGCGGUAAGACCUGUUGCUUCCUGGUCCUGUUGCCAUGGUGAUCUAGCUGUGCCCUCGAACUGUGUGCUAAAGACCCACCCCCUUCUGUAAGUUGCUUUUCUCCGGUGUUUGUCACGGCAUCAAGAAAAACAACAAACACUUGCACUCCAUGAAAUUUGAAACGAGCUCAACAUCUCCAAAGGGACUGACUGGCUUUUAGAAAAGCAUGUGCCACACUUGUGUUGACCAGUGUUUAGAAUGCACAUGAUUUUAUGUGGAAUAACUUCGAUGCCCAGUUUAUAGCGUGCCUUUGAAAGGAUGGGCCUGUGUGCUUGCUCCAGGCUGACUGACCAUCUAGUGGGUAAAAUGUUUACCAGUGCUGUCCAGGCGAAGCCAAACUAGGUGAGGCUGAAGGGACUUGUUAGAGCAUGCAGGUCAACUUCUUCAUUCCCUGAUGAGAGAUGGUUCAAUUCGAGGAUGCCGUGAUGUCGUUUGCUCUUGACUUUCAGAAGAAUAGAGAAGGAAGAAAAUGUUUCUUUCUGGUGAUCAAGACAGAACAAUUGGUCUGUAUUUCACAUAUGUCAAGAGCCUUAUUGCUGUACUUGGACAUAGUGGAUGGCAGGAGGGCUGACAGGGACAAACUUUGUACCUCACGUGGCUGAAAGGUGGACAAUUCCAUGCUUGGGAGAGCCAUGUGUGGUGAAGUUAGUCUAUCCUGCUGCAAUCCCAAAUACCUCUUGGUAAGCACCUUCUCUCAAGGCCAACACAUUGGAUUUAGAUCCCACACAAGUGUGAGUGGGGACAAAAUAUUAAAUAUUAAAGCCAUGGCAGAGGCUAUUGGAUCAACGUGUGAAUGCACUUGACUUCCUGUAACUUGCAGCCAUGAAAAUUAGCACUGCCUGUGAUAUAUUUGUUCUGUGUGAGCACUACCCUGUGGUCCCACAUAACUCUGUCUAGCACUGUUCUAUGAACAAAUGAUCCCUCUUUCCAGAAAAGGAAAUGUGGGCCCAGAAAUGCUAAGUAACUUGUCUAAAUAUCGAAAGAUACAAAUGCAAGUUUUGAGCCCAAGGUUGUUUGUCUUCAAAGUACUUCUCAGUUACUUCUAUUUCUAAGAAAUAUUUUGUUGGGUGAGAUUUGCUGGAAUCCAAAUCAAAAGGCAUCAGCCUUGCAAACAUCAAGUCAAAACCGUGAAGUGCUCUUACAAAAUACAGUGAUGGUG
rnacentral:lncRNA from 1 species